ensembl:lncRNA
AAUGACCUCUCCCCCUGGGUCUGCAGGGCACGGUUUUCUUCUGGGAGGCUGACUUUACUAUUUGAUGUGAUGGGGUUCAGGACACGCUCCCCCAAAAGACUGCACCCUGACAUAUGGGCCCUCCCAAGCUGGAGGAAUCAGAGAAACGCCAGAAGCAGGCAGUGUCCUCUGACCUUUCACCCCACCCCCCUUCCCUUCUUCCCUGAAAUAGGUCAGAAAACUCCCGUGUGAGAGAUGCCCACACUCUGCCAGGAGGAAGGCAGACAUUUUUAGCACCAGAAAAGGGAAACUGGGAGUCAAGAAAUCAGUGCGAACAAACCCCGUUGAGCUCACUCAUCUUCCCACUUACUUCUUCACCGCAUGCUGCCCCAGCCCAAACCUCUUGGUGUGGCCGAUUCUUCACUGAUGUGUUGAUUCUUCUUCUACAAGACUCCAGUUCAUUUGCAGAAACCCCAGUGACCACAGGCAUGACCCAGGAGGCCCCAGUGACCACAGCCGUGACCUGGGAGGCUGCAGAAGAGCCCGUGAAUGGCCUGAGCCAGGCCACUAUGGUGUCUGAAAAAUGGUGCUGGGCUGCAUCCGCCCACGGGAGAGACAAGAGUAGACGUGUUACGCAGAGGACUUGGGAAACUCAGCUGUCGAACCUUGCACAUCUCGCGGUGUUGCAGGAGGGCUCCUUAGAGAGAAGAGUCAACGGGAUGGAAUCGUUCCUGCUAACUGAUCCCCGAGUAGACAACUCAGACCAAGCCAGCAGAUGGACCUAGAAAACAGCAGAUGUGCAUCAAAAAAGUCAGGCAAUAUAUAAUUAUGAAUUUUUAAGAUCAAAAGUGAUUCUAAAUAACCAGAAGUAAAUUGUCCCUUGUGUAGCACAGUUGAUUGCCAAAAGACCUUACAAGGACAUUUUUCUUGGACAGUUU